AAAGGACCUUGAUGACAUCACGAUCACAUGGCCUUAUCAUGUGACAGCCCUGCGGAAAACUAGCUGUUACUGAGAGGUAGAUUCAAAUGGCUGUUGCUUUGCUGUGGCAAAUGGCGGGCAGCGAACUCUUCAUGGAAUCCCUGCUGCUGCUGCCAUCCCAGCAUUCAGACUCUUCUUUCGUCUCCAUCUUUUUAAUUAUUUUGUGCAAAUUAUAGUUUGUUUUCUUUUCCUCUGUGUUGUCAAUGGUAGUGCUACUCAUUAAGGAAAGGUAUGGUUCUACUUAACUGUGCCAUAGAUUUGUUGUCUGAUCCUGCCUUAUUAUUUAAUAAAUUCGUAAUAAAAUUCUAAUAUGA